GUGUGUGUGUGUGUGUGUGUGUGUGUGUGUGUGUGUGUGUGUGUGUGUGUGUGUGUGUGUGUGUGUGUGUGUGUGUGUGUGUGUGUGUGUGUGUGUUAGGAUGCGUUCAGGCGUUAUUCGAUUGCCUGGUAACCAUGGUUACUAAUAUUCACACUGGUUUCAAUAAUACAUUUGAUAGUAUUUCCCAUCUUUGCUGAGCAACAGUUUUGUUCUAAAGUUCAGUGAUUGAAACAGAUAAAAGCCCGGGCUAUGGAAGUGUUCCGGUACCACUGUCAUGCACCUGCCCGAUGUCAAGUGGACCGGGUGGAAUUCACUGCGGGUCUCUCCUCUUAUAUCCAUCUCACCAAAGAUAUUUUAUUACUGUCCUUCUCAACACUCUCUCACUAAAAGGCUGGCAGCACAACACAGCAAUAAUGACGAGAUGCGCUGUGCGUAGAGAAGAAAGAAUACCGACGUCGAAUUUGCAACAUUUGGCAAAAAAUGAUUCUAAAUCUGCCCAUGUAUGGACACGCCAGAAUGUUGUGGUUUCCACUCGCUACAAUGUUGCAUCUGUGGCUGCUGGUAAUUUAACCACAAAGAAGUAUACUCUACGGGGCUAUUUUCAGCAUUAUUAUUAUUAUUUUUAUUUUUUUGACGGCACAGCGAUCUGGGGCUAUUCCCAAAAGAUCCGGGGCUAUAGCCUCGUAUGCUCGAAUGCUGUAGCCUCGAAUGGGUUCUUCAAUCUGAUUGGUAGUCACACUGGUAAUUAGUUUCCCCCCUCCUUUUCGGGGAUAAUGUUCCCCGUUUUGAUCUCGGACGUCUGGUCACUUCAUAUCACAGAUCUGAAUAUUAUAUUACUGUAAACUCUAAAACAAGCCGAAACAUGUGUCCUGUAUCAUGACUAUAUGUAUGACCGGUGAAAGAAAGAAACCGUGUGAACAUCAGUUUGGUAUUCAGUGAGGUGGGAUUAACUGAAUGUGUGAACAUCAGGUUGGUAUUCAGUGAGGUGGGAUUAACUGAAUGUGUGAACAUCAGGUUGGUAUUCAGUGAGGUGGGAUUAACUGAAUGUGUGAACAUCAGGUUGGUAUUCAGUGAGGUGGGAUUAACUGAAUGUGUGAACAUCAGGUUGGUAUUCAGUGAGGUGGGAUUAACUGAAUGUGUGAACAUCAGGUUGGUAUUCAGUGAGGUGGGAUUAACUGAAUGCGCUGACAGUUCAUUACUGACAGACAGAUGACACUGAGUGGAGCGGUCGACCCACCUUCACACCUUCUGGUCCUCCUGCACCCAGGAGGACCCCCUCCCUGGGGUCUGGUUAGGGGGGGUUAGGGGGGUUCGGGGGGGCGGCUCAUUGGGGGACGCAGCGUCUAGGUUAGUGUUAGCAGGGUGGGGGCCCUCAGCGUCUGUUAGUUAUAAGUUAUAGUCUCUCGCUCUCUCUCUCGCUCUCGCUCUCGCGCUCUGUCUCUGUCUCUCUCUCUCUCUCUCUCUCUCUCUCACUCCCACUCAGUGUUGUGAAGGAUACUUUUAAAAUGUAUCCAGUUACAGAAUACAUGCCCAAAAAUGUAAAAAAAUUCUGUUUCAUCACUCAAUUUGAGUAUUGUAUUCUGAAUACUUGGAUUCCUUCCACAUUGAAUUGCAUUUUAGAAUUGUAGGCAGUGGCGAAGUUAGACCUCUUUGGGGUGGUCUCUCUCUCUCUCUCUCUCUCUCUCUCUCUCUCUCUCUCUCUCUCUCUCUCUCUCUCUCUCUCUCUCUGUGUCUGAUGACACACGUGAACACAAACAUGCAUAUGUGAACACACACAUGCACGGACUACACACACAUGUUUGUAUAAACAAACACACACACACUGGGUUUUGGUGAUUUAUAUUCAUGUACUCAACUAUAAUCCAAAUGCUACAUUUUCUUGAUCUUCUUAAAGUUGAUCUUGAUUAACCAUGGAAGGAAGAGUCUUUUAAGAUCUUCCAUCAGGUUAACUUAAUAGGUUUUACAAAGAUUAUAUUUCUAAUGUCAGAUGUAUUUUAAUUAUUGAUUGAUGGUAAAUUUUAACAGUUUUAUAGUACAAUAUUGUGUCUAUCUUCAGACGUUAACAGUUUCAUACUGCUGGGCUCUGAUAUCAGUUUAUAUUUUGAUAAGCCUCACAUGAUGUAAAGCAGAUUUUAUAUUAUAUUCAUAAUGCAAGCGGUCUAUGGGGAAAGCUAUAGAUCAUGUUGUGAUGACUUUAAACUGAUUGAUUCCUUGUGUUCUGUGGG